rnacentral:rRNA from 1 species
AGAGUUUGAUCAUGGCUCAGAGCGAACGCUGGCGGCGUGCCUAACACAUGCAAGUCGAACGUGAAUGGGAGCAAUCCCUAGUAAAGUGGCGUACGGGUGAGUAACGCGUAGGUAAUCUACCCCAAAGUCUGGAAUAACCGGCCGAAAGGCUGGCUAAUACCGGAUAGAGCGACGGAAUCCGUAAUUGGGUUUUUCGGGAAAGGGAGGGAGCAAUCCCCCUUGCUUUGGGAUGAGCCUGCGUCCCAUCAGCUAGUUGGUAAGGUAAUGGCUUACCAAGGCUAUGACGGGUAGCUGGUCUGAGAGGAUGAUCAGCCACACUGGAACUGAAACGCGGUCCAGACUCCUACGGGAGGCAGCAGUGGGGAAUCUUGCGCAAUGGACGAAAGUCUGACGCAGCCACGCCGCGUGAGUGAAGAAGGCCUUCGGGUUGUAAAGCUCUGUCGCCCGGGAAGAAAAGAUUUAGGGUGAAUAGCCCUAGAUCCUGACGGUACCGGGAGAGGAAGCACCGGCUAACUUCGUGCCAGCAGCCGCGGUAAUACGAGGGGUGCAAGCGUUGCUCGGAAUUAUUGGGCGUAAAGGGUAGGUAGGUGGUCUCAUUUGUCUGGGGUGAAAGCCUUGAGCUUAACUCAAGAAGUGCCCCAGAAACGGUGAGACUGGAGUCCUGGAGAGGGUCGUGGAAUUCCCGGUGUAGCGGUGAAAUGCGUAGAGAUCGGGAGGAACACCAGAGGCGAAAGCGGCGACCUGGACAGGCACUGACACUCAACUACGAAAGCGUGGGGAGCAAACAGGAUUAGAUACCCUAGUAGUCC